rnacentral:rRNA from 1 species
UACGUAGGUGGCAAGCGUUGUCCGGAAUUAUUGGGCGUAAAGCGCGCGCAGGCGGUCCUUUAAGACUGAUGUGAAAGCCCACGGCUCAACCGUGGAGGGUCAUUGGAAACUGGGGGACUUGAGUGCAGAAGAGGAAAGCGGAAUUCCACGUGUAGCGGUGAAAUGCGUAGAGAUGUGGAGGAACACCAGUGGCAAAGGCGGCUUUCUGGUCUGUAACUGACGCUGAGGCGCGAAAGCGUGGGGAGCAAACAGG